rnacentral:rRNA from 1 species
UUCCGGUUGAUCCUGCCGGACCUGACUGCUAUCGGAUUGAUACUAAGCCAUGCGAGUCAUUGUAGCAAUACAAGGCAGACGGCUCAGUAACGCGUAGUCAACCUAACCUAUGGACGGGAAUAACCUCGGGAAACUGAGAAUAAUGCCCGAUAGAACACUAUGCCUGGAAUGGUUUGUGUUCCAAAUGAUUUAUCGCCGUAGGAUGGGACUGCGGCCUAUCAGUUUGUUGGUGAGGUAAUGGCCCACCAAGACUAUUACAGGUACGGGCUCUGAGAGGAGUAGCCCGGAGAUGGGUACUGAGACACGGACCCAGGCCCUAUGGGGCGCAGCAGGCGAGAAAACUUUGCAAUGUGCGAAAGCACGACAAGGUUAAUCCGAGUGGUUUGUGCUAAACAGACCUUUUGUUAGUCCUAGAAACACUAACGAAUAAGGGGUGGGCAAGUUCUGGUGUCAGCCGCCGCGGUAAAACCAGCACCUCAAGUGGUCAGGAUGAUUAUUGGGCCUAAAGCAUCCGUAGCCGGCUCUGUAAGUUUUCGGUUAAAUCUGUAUGCUCAACAUACAGGCUGCCGGGAAUACUGCGGAGCUAGGGAGUGGGAGAGGUAGACGGUACUCGGUAGGAAGGGGUAAAAUCCUUUGAUCUAUUGAUGACCACCUGUGGCGAAGGCGGUCUACCAGAACACGUCCGACGGUGAGGGAUGAAAGCUGGGGGAGCAAACCGGAUUAGAUACCCGGGUAGUCCCAGCUGUAAACUAUG